rnacentral:rRNA from 1 species
GCGGACGGGUGAGUAACACGUGGGUAACCUACCUAUAAGACUGGGAUAACUUCGGGAAACCGGAGCUAAUACCGGAUAAUAUUUAGAACCGCAUGGUUCGAUAGUGAAAGAUGGCUUUGCUAUCACUUAUAGAUGGACCUGCGCCGUAUUAGCUAGUUGGUAAGGUAACGGCUUACCAAGGCAACGAUACGUAGCCGACCUGAGAGGGUGAUCGGCCACACUGGAACUGAGACACGGUCCAGACUCUACGGGAGGCAGCAGUAGGGAAUCUUCCGCAAUGGGCGAAAGNCUGACGGAGCAACGCCGCGUGAGUGAUGAAGGUCUUCGGAUCGUAAAACUCUGUUAUUAGGGAAGAACAAAUGUGUAAGUAACUAUGCACGUCUUGACGGUACCUAAUCAGAAAGCCACGGCUAACUACGUGCCAGCAGCCGCGGUAAUACGUAGGUGGCAAGCGUUAUCCGGAAUUAUUGGGCGUAAAGCGCGCGUAGGCGGUUUUUUAAGUCUGAUGUGAAAGCCCACGGCUCAACCGUGGAGGGUCAUUGGAAACUGGAAAACUUGAGUGCAGAAGAGGAAAGUGGAAUUCCAUGUGUAGCGGUGAAAUGCGCAGAGAUAUGGAGGAACACCAGUGGCGAAGGCGACUUUCUGGUCUGUAACUGACGCUGAUGUGCGAAAGCGUGGGGAUCAAACAGGAUUAGAUACCCUGGUAGUCCACGCCGUAAACGAUGAGUGCUAAGUGUUAGGGGGUUUCCGCCCCUUAGUGCUGCANNNAACGCAUUAAGCACUCCGCCUGGGGAGUACGACCGCAAGGUUGAAACUCAAAGGAAUUGACGGGGAUCCGCACAAGCGGUGGAGCAUGUGGUUUAAUUCGAAGCAACGCGAAGAACCUUANCAAAUCUUGACAUCCUUUGACCCUUCUAG